rnacentral:rRNA from 1 species
GAUGAACGCUGGCGGCGUGCCUAAUACAUGCAAGUAGAACGCUGAAGGAGGAGCUUGCUCUUCUGGAUGAGUUUCGAUCGGGUGAGUAACGCGUAGGUAACCUGCCUGGUAGCGUGGGAUAACUAUUGGAAACGAUAGCUAAUACCGCAUGACAACAGUUAUUGCAUGAUAACUGUUUAAAAGGGGCAACUGCUCCACUACCACAUGGACCUGCGUUGUAUUAGCUAGUUGGUGAGGUAACGGCUCACCAAGGCGACGAUACAUAGCCGACCAGAGAGGGGGAUCGGCAACACUGAGACGAGGACACGACCCAGACCACUACGGGAGGGAGAAGUAGGGAAUCUUCGGGAAUGGAAGGAAGUCGGACCGAGGAACGCCGCGUGAAAGAAGAAGGUAGUCAGAUCGUAAAGGUCAGUAGUAAGAGAAGAACGAGUGGGAGAGUGGAAAGCGCACACUGUGACGGUAUCUGACUAGAAAGGGACGGCUAAAUACGUG